CAUUCCUCUCUUAAUUCUUUGUGACGUUCAUUUCUCCAUCAAAUUAUUGCACCAGUUAAAUCUACUAUAUUGCUUCCAUUAAUAUUUUAUUUCUUUCUCUUUCACACACAUAGAUCCUCUUAUUCAAUAAUGCUUAAUUAUCUCUAAAAUCUUUUAUUGAUUUAAUAACAUAAAAGAUCAAAUCCGCAUGAUGGGCAUUUUAAGACGCAAAGCCACUUCUGACGCCUCCUUUGCUUUGAUACAAAUCCUCAAGCUAAGUUAAGAAAUAUUAUUUGUACUUCAAUUUGUUUUUCUGUUGUGUCUCUCAUACAGAAUUCUUUUUCUUUCAGUUGUAGGGCAAUAAAAAUUUGGGUUUCUCCAGAUGACAUAUUAUGUGUAUGUAUUUGUGGGUUCUUAUUGAUUUAAUUUUAUUAUAGAGUCAAAGAAGAAUUAAUAUUUAUGGUCUAACUUCGAUGGGUACAUGAAAGUGUAAAUUUAUUCAAGAGCAACUUUACCAGACGAGUGGUUACAUUAGUGUUUGAGGAAGUAGUUACUAAAAUUAUUUGUAUUUCGAUUCGACGUCAUGUUGUUGAAUAAAUUUUAUUUUAUUUCGGUAUUUUAGUUUACGGAGUUUGUAAUGAAUAUUAUCUCAAUGUAGUAUUAGUUCUUAAUUA